GGACAGGUGGCGGAGUGGUCGAUCGCGCACGCUUGGAAAGCGUGUGUACGUGAAAGCGUACCGAGGGUUCGAAUCCCUCUCUGUCCGCCA
rnacentral:tRNA from 19 species